rnacentral:rRNA from 1 species
AGUGAACGCUGGCGGCGUGCUCAACACAUGCAAGUCGAACGAGAACGGAUUAUAGCUUGCUAUAAUUGUCAGCUUAGUGGCGCACGGGUGAGUAAUGUAUAGGUAAUAUGCCUCUUACUAAGGGAUAACAAAUGGAAACGUUUGCUAAUACCUUAUACUCCUUAUUAACAUAAGUUAAUAAGGGAAAGAUUUAUUGGUAAGAGAUUAGCCUGUAUUGUAUCAGUUAGUUGGUGGGGUAAUGGCCUACCAAGACUAUGACACAUAACUGGUUUGAGAGGAUGAUCAGUCACACUGGAACUGAGACACGGUCCAGACUCCUACGGGAGGCAGCAGUGGGGAAUAUUGCACAAUGGACGAAAGUCUGAUGCAGCAACGCCGCGUGGAGGAUGACACAUUUCGGUGCGUAAACUCCUUUUAUAUGAGAAGAUAAUGACGGUAUUAUAUGAAUAAGCACCGGCUAACUCCGUGCCAGCCGCCGCGGUAA